rnacentral:rRNA from 1 species
ACUCCUACGGGAGGCAGCAGUAGGGAAUCUUGCGCAAUGGGCGAAAGCCUGACGCAGCGACGCCGCGUGAGCGAAGAAGGCCUUCGGGUCGUAAAGCUCUGUCCUCAGGGAAGAAGGAAGUGGCGGUACCUGAGGAGGAAGCCCCGGCUAACUACGUGCCAGCAGCCGCGGUAAU